UUUACCUGACCGAAUAAUUGACGGCAACAUCUGUCAAACUCACUAGCUUCAAGUAGCGACUGAGGCCCAAUCUGGACAUUGUCCUGAUUUUUUUGGUACCCUCCAUGGAGGUGGAGGAUUAUAAAAAUAAUAACGGGGCCUCGAUAGCGAUCUUUGGGGGUCUUGCAGGAGACGUGCGCGCCAAGUGAUACAUAUUUGUACGUUUUGGUACAAUAUUGCGUUCCAGAUUAAUAAACAAAUGUGAAGCUAGCUGAAUACCCACAGUACAACAGGUCACCCAAGUUCACCCAAAUCGAACCUGACCUACAUGGAUAAAAAUAUAAACCAUGGAAUUUGUUCCAGUCAUUGGCAGCAGAGAACUGGAAGGAGAGGUGGCCAAAGAAAGAAUUGGUUUUGGGGGUGACCAGAGAGAUAUACCUGCUGGAGCGCGUGCUACAGGAAAACAUGUAGCAAAUUAGGCCAUGGUGGCGCCUAGUUCUCCUGCAGAACUUUCCCAUGCCGUCUGAAGAAGAGUGGUUGAAAGAUCGAAAAAGGCGGCAAAAACAAAACGCACUACAGGAUGAUACAGAAGACGCAGCAUGUCACUUCAGCAUCCAGGUCUGCAGGAUCAGCUACUGUAUAGGGUAUUAGCUAAAGUGAUACUGAAAACAAAAUGCACGGAAGCAGAUGUUCUUAUACACCUUAGAGGCAGCAAGGUAGUGUGAACGCCAAACAUUUAAAGGCACUGUUUCCCUCCCCAGUGUAAUUGGGAUGGACAGGGAAGACUCCAUUACAGCCCUUAAAACCCUUAAAGGACUACGGUUGUAUGAUGGCCUGGAUGAAGAGGAAAAUAUUCUCAAGGAACCAUUCAUGUUACAGAGAGAUUGAGAUGUUCUAUGUGGAGGCAGUUGACAACAAGAACAUUACUGUCUUUGCCUCUUGAGGAGCAGGAGUGAAGCAAUUUUUGAGGAGUGGUCAAACCUUGUUUUUGUCUGCUGUGUAAAUUGUUUCAGUUGUUAAUUGUGUUAAGUUGUUUAGUAAAGAUGACAUUGAAGUCACCCGAGUCUCUGAUCUCUGUACUGGAGCUGGUAUAACUUAAUGUACAAAGCACAUUCAGCUUGUCAGUAUGUCUAUAUGGUAUAGUCUGUCUCCAUUCUCAUGAGGAAAGUAAAUAGCAUUAUAAAUAAGGAUAGGUAGUAAUUGUGUGUGUGUGUGUGUAUAUAUAUAUGCUCAAUGAAAGAAUAUAAGUUAUAACAUUUAUCAACACAAUUUUAACAGUACAUGACAUGCAUAACAAGUCUGUUGUUCACUGCACUUGUCUCAUAGCAUGAAGUACAAAGUGUUGCAACACAUCUGCUGGUACCACUUUAUAUAAUAUUUCUUAAGAUCUUCAAAAAUGAAAUAUGUUUGUAUUCAACGUGUGUGUUUGUAUUCAGUGUGUAACCGUCAAACCUCAGACAGAAAAAUGGCGAGCCACAUCGAGCCUGGUCCGAAUUGCACACUGCAGUCAGUGGUACUUGGCUUCCACCUGCAAGUAUGGGUAACUGCAUACGUGGGUGUGUCAUCAGAAGUGGGAGGAUCAACAGCGAUAGGCAUUACACCAACCAUGUGAAAUAAGGUUGGGAGAGCUAAGGCACUCUAUUCUUAAUAUUAUGAGAAUCAUACUGUGGCUUUUGAAUGUUAACAAAACACAACAAACUCCUAACUACAUAUGAAAAUAAAAGUAAUU